rnacentral:rRNA from 1 species
GAUGAACGCUGGCGGCGUGCUUAACACAUGCAAGUCGAACGGAAAGGCCAUUCCUUGCUCUGGUGCUCGAGUGGCGAACGGGUGAGUAACACGUGGGUGAUCUGCCCUGCACUUUGGGAUAAGCCUGGGAAACUGGGGCUAAUACCGGAUAGGACCAUGCGUUGGAUGGUGUGGGGGAGAGAUUUUUCGGUGUGGGGUGUGCUUGCGGCCUAUCAGCUUGUUGGGGGGGUGAUGGCCUACCAAGGCGUCGUCGGGUAGCCGGCCUGAGAGGGUGUACGGCCACAUUGGGGCCUAGAGGAGGCCCAGACUCCUACGGGGGGCAACAGGGGGGAAGAUUGGACAAGGGGCGCGAGGCGGAUGCAGCGACGCCGCGGGGGGGAUGACGGGCUUCGGGGUGGAAACUCCUUUCGCAAUUGACGAAGCUUUUUGUGACGGUAGGUUGAGAAGAAGCACCGGCUAACUACGUG